rnacentral:rRNA from 1 species
GAUGAACGCUGGCGGCGUGCCUAAUACAUGCAAGUCGAGCGAACAGACGAGGAGCUUGCUCCUCUGACGUUAGCGGCGGACGGGUGAGUAACACGUGGAUAACCUACCUAUAAGACUGGGAUAACUUCGGGAAACCGGAGCUAAUACCGGAUAAUAUAUUGAACCGCAUGGUUCAAUAGUGAAAGACGGUUUUGCUGUCACUUAUAGAUGGAUCCGCGCCGCAUUAGCUAGUUGGUAAGGUAACGGCUUACCAAGGCAACGAUGCGUAGCCGACCUGAGAGGGUGAUGGGACACACUGGAACUGAGACACGGUCCAGAAUACUACGGGAGGCAGCAGUCGGGAAUCGUACGGAAGGGGCGAAAGCCGGAAGGAGCAGUGACGAGUGAGAGAUAAAGGUCUAAGGAUCGUGAAACUCGGUUAUGAGGGAAGAACAGAUGUGGAAGUAACUGUGCCAGCCUUGACGGUACCUAAUAAGAAAGCGACGGCUAACUACGUG